rnacentral:rRNA from 1 species
UGCAUGUCUCAGUAUAAGCUUCUAUACGGCGAAACUGCGAAUGGCUCAUUAAAACAGUUAUAGUUUAUUUGGUGGUCAGCAAUUACAUGGAUAACCGUGGUAAUUCUAGAGCUAAUACAUGCGUCCAAACCCGACUUCGUGGAAGGGUUGUGUUUAUUAGAUACAGAACCAACCCAGGCUCCGCCUGGCCUUGAGGUGAUUCAUAAUAACCGAACGAAUCGCAUGGCUAUGCCGGCGAUAGACCAUUCAAGUUUCUGACCUAUCAGCUAUCGUCGGUAGGGUAUUGGCCUACCGUGGCAAUGACGGGUAACGGAGAAUUAGGGUUCGAUUCCGGAGAGGGAGCCUGAGAAACGGCUACCACAUCUAAGGAAGGCAGCAGGCGCGCAAAUUACCCAAUCCUGACGCAGGGAGGUAGUGACAAGAAAUAACAAUACAGGGCAUACAUGUCUUGUAAUUGGAAUGAGUAAACUUUAAAUCACUUUACGAGUAUCAAUUGGAGGG